UACGUAGGGGGCAAGCGUUGUUCGGAUUUACUGGGCGUAAAGGGCGCGUAGGCGGCGCAACAAGUCACUUGUGAAAUCUCCGGGCUUAACUCGGAGAGGUCAAGUGAUACUGUUGUGCUAGAGUGCGGAAGGGGCAACUGGAAUUCUCGGUGUAGCGGUGAAAUGCGUAGAUAUCGAGAGGAACACCUGCGGCGAAGGCGGGUUGCUGGGCCGACACUGACGCUGAUGCGCGAAAGCCAGGGGAGCGAACGGG
rnacentral:rRNA from 1 species